GUCUUGAAGUGCUGAAUGAUCACAUACCAAAUAUGGAGAACAAACGAUACAAUCUUCUUAGAUAAUAGCAACAAAAUUGAUUGGAAAAAGUUUACGCUCUCUUUUGUAUUCCUGGAGACAUCUGGACAGAUAAAAUGAAUAAAAACAAUAAUUGAAAAGUCCUUAGGAACAAUAUUCCAAUUUUCACUUUUGUUGGCUCCACAACUUGAUUUUCUUCAAUUUCAAUUGGAGUUUCCAUGGCUUGAUCAGCUCCUUGCUUUGGAAUAAGGUCUUCAAUAGAUGAAGGUUCAACAAUCAAAAUUUUGGAUUUU
rnacentral:misc_RNA from 1 species